rnacentral:rRNA from 1 species
AUGAACGCUGGCGGCGUGCCUAACACAUGCAAGUCGAACGGACUUACAUUGAAGCCUAGCGAUAUGUAAGUUAGUGGCGGACGGGUGAGUAACGCGUGGGUAACCUGCCUUGUACUGGGGGACAACAGUUGGAAACGACUGCUAAUACCGCAUAAGCGCACAGCUUCGCAUGAAGCAGUGUGAAAAACUCCGGUGGUACAAGAUGGACCCGCGUCUGAUUAGCUGGUUGGUGAGGUAACGGCCCACCAAGGCGACGAUCAGUAGCCGGCCUGAGAGGGUGAACGGCCACAUUGGGACUGAGACACGGCCCAAACUCCUACGGGAGGCAGCAGUGGGGAAUAUUGCACAAUGGGGGAAACCCUGAUGCAGCAACGCCGCGUGAGUGAAGAAGUAUUUCGGUAUGUAAAGCUCUAUCAGCAGGAAAGAAAAUGACGGUACCUGACUAAGAAGCCCCGGCUAACUACGUGCCAGCAGCCGCGGUAAUACGUAGGGGGCAAGCGUUAUCCGGAUUUACUGGGUGUAAAGGGAGCGUAGACGGUUUUGCAAGUCUGAAGUGAAAGCCCGGGGCUUAACCCCGGGACUGCUUUGGAAACUGUAGGACUAGAGUGCAGGAGAGGUAAGUGGAAUUCCUAGUGUAGCGGUGAAAUGCGUAGAUAUUAGGAGGAACACCAGUGGCGAAGGCGGCUUACUGGACUGUAACUGACGUUGAGGCUCGAAAGCGUGGGGAGCAAACAGGAUUAGAUACCCUGGUAGUCCACGCCGUAAACGAUGAUUACUAAGUGUUGGUGGGUACGACCCAUCGGUGCCGUAGCAAACGCAAUAAGUAAUCCACCUGGGGAGUACGUUCGCAAGAAUGAAACUCAAAGGAAUUGACGGGGGCCCGCACAAGCGGUGGAUUAUGUGGUUUAAUUCGAAGCAACGCGAAGAACCUUACCAGGUCUUGACAUCCUACUAACGAGAUAGAGAUAUGUUAGGUGCCCUUCGGGGAAAGUAGAGACAGGUGGUGCAUGGUUGUCGUCAGCUCGUGUCGUGAGAUGUUGGGUUAAGUCCCGCAACGAGCGCAACCCUUAUCUUUAGUAGCCAGCAGUAAGAUGGGCACUCUAGAGAGACUGCCGGGGAUAACCCGGAGGAAGGUGGGGAUGACGUCAAAUCAUCAUGCCCCUUAUGACCAGGGCUACACACGUGCUACAAUGGCGUAAACAAAGAGAAGCGAAGUCGUGAGGCAGAGCGAAUCUCAAAAAUAACGUCUCAGUUCGGAUUGUAGUCUGCAACUCGACUACAUGAAGCUGGAAUCGCUAGUAAUCGCAGAUCAGAAUGCUGCGGUGAAUACGUUCCCGGGUCUUGUACACACCGCCCGUCACACCAUGGGAGUCGGAAAUGCCCGAAGUCGGUGACCUAACCGCAAGGAAGGAGCCGCCGAAGGCAGGUCUGAUAACUGGGGUG